rnacentral:rRNA from 1 species
AUCUUGUGCUGAGCACUAAAUAUACAACUUUCAACAACGGAUCUCUUGGCUCUCGCAUCGAUGAAGAACGCAGCGAAAUGCGAUAAGUAAUGUGAAUUGCAGAAUUCAGUGAAUCAUCGAAUCUUUGAACGCACCUUGCACCCUUUGGUAUUCCA